GGGAGCCGGCGCUGGGCCGGGGGAGGGGAGGUAGGGCGGCGGAGCCGCGGGGAGCGGGCACCGGGAGGGAGGGGGCGGCGGGCCGCGGCCGAGCGACGCGCGUCCUCCGCGGCCCCAUCCCCGAGUCAUCCCCCCCCCCGCAGCCCCGCCCCCGGCCCGAGGGCAGCGCUGGGACACAGCCCGGAGGUGGCCUGGGGGUGGCGCGGGGCGGGGGGGUGGGGGGAGGGAUGUCCCGCCCUCGGGGAAGCCCGGGGAGGGGGCGGGCGCGCUGAUGACCGGAGGGAGGGCGUGCGGGCCCAGAGGAAAAGCCCCGAAGACCGGGAAGAUGGAGGAGGUCGCUGCGGCCGAGGGGGCGGGGGCCCCUAGCCUCCCUCCCGCGGGGUCACCUUGGCCAGGCCCCCCGCGGCCACGGGCGGCGGGGAGGGCGGCAGGAAUGCCUCUCCGCAGGCCCUGAUUUCUCCGCCCAGCCCAGUUCCAGGAACGCGCGGGCAGCGCCGGGCAGGCAGAGGCCCCGGCUUCGGAUUCGGGGAGGCGCAAGCCAGGGUUCGAGGCCGGGAUGAGCCCCUCCCUCCCGUCCCUCGCCGGGCUGGUCCCCGCCUUGCCCUCGGCCUCAGUUUCCCACCCGGUAGAAUUAGGACGAGGUCGGGCCGGGAACAGUCCUGGCUUCCGCUCGGCCCCAGUCUUGGUCCCAGCAUUUGGGACAACCUGCAUCCCCAGCCUGAGCGCCGCGGGGGUCCUUGCUCGCUCUGGAACCUUCCGCGUCCAGCGCGGCGCCCGCGGUUAGGACGCGCGGUGGGAGUGGAUGCCGGCGAGUGCGAAAGCCCGGCACCCGCACCCGCCUAAGCUGUUUCUCCCUCCUGAUGUUGAACCCAGGCUCUGAGUUCCUGAAUGUGUCUUGUUUGGGCCACUCUGGAGCCCCCGCCCAGUUAUCUUCCUGCUGCUCUGCUGUCAGGUGGCAAAUCUUGGUUCAAAAACAGUCCUCCUCCUAUUGGCCAGCCUUGCCGCUUCACAGUUGGCCUUGAGGAGCCCAAGAGACGAAAAGCAUCCUCUAUAGCCCGAGGCCGGUGGGUCUUGAUCACGCAACAUCCUCAGCUCUUGGUGCAGAGCUUGGCACCUAGUAGGUGCUCAAGAUGUGUUGCACGGAUGGUCAUAGGGUAGGUGCUCAUUAUAUAUUAAGCGAAUGUACAUAUAGUAGGUGCUCAUGACUGUUGCGUAAAGGGACACAGCUGGUGCUCUUAAACUUUUGCAUGGACACAUGGUAGAUGCUUAUUAUAUUUUAGGCAAAUGGAUACACAGUUGAUGCUUAUGACGGUUGCAUAAAUGGACACAUAAUAGGUACUCACGAUUUAUGUGAAUAGACACAGAGUAGGUGCUCAUGAACUGUUGGGUAAUACAUGAAAGGCCUGUAGGCCGAAGAGUGGCGAUUUGGAGGUGACCUCCUCUGCCCCCACCCCACCCCACCCCGAUUUCCCUCGUGUGGAUAAUGUGGAGUGAGACCGGGUUAAACAUUAGCUGGCAGAUGGGCCUGGGGGCAGGCCAGCUUUGGGACCUAGCACCUUUCGGGAGGGGGCUGUUAAGGGCCGACUCUCGCGGUCCGCGGAUCAGCGGGUGCGUGGGGAGGGGUGGAGGCUGAGGGCCGCAGAGCGCCCCCUCCCGGCGCGCCGGGGAUCGCGACUAUGCUGCCCGCAGGGCGGCCUUGCAUCCCGGGGCAAAGUGUUGUUCGAUCUCUAAGGGAGGGGGAGGAUGCGGGGCGGGGCGAGAGUGAAGACAAGAGUGACCACCUCAGCUGUCCUUGCCCUCAGGGGUCUUACAAUCCAUUAGGACAUGAAUCCAGUGACCAGGUAAGUCCAAUGACCUCUGCACCUUGAGGGGCACUUGGCCAUAAGAAACCUUCACCCUGGGAGGGCCUUUCUCAAUGUCUUUCUACGCACACUAGUUUUCAUGGACAAGCAGGUUGCUCGCAGUUGGAACUCUGAGCUGGGAUUUCCCACCUUGCUCCUUUCUAAGGUUGUUUUGGAGAUUAGAUGAGGUACAUUCUUAACACAUACUAGCCAUCACUACCUAGUGUCCACAAUUGCAGGACCCAGAUGGAGUCCCUUUAGCUGCCAAUAACCCCCUAAAUUUGGCUUUUGCAAAUCCCACAAGAGUGAAGAACUAUAUAAUAUGGGUGGGGCUGACCCGACCCAGAAACCCCCAGUUCUCAGCCAGACAAGUUUUUUUCUCUGUACUGGAUGGCUCACUUUUAUUAUAUUCACUGUAACCCUGAGGGUGUGUCCUAUUAUUAUUCCCAUUUUAUAGAGAAGGAAACUGAGGCACAGAGAAGUAACUGGGCCAAGGUCUUAGAAGCUAGUGAGAGACAUGGUCCAGAUUGCAGUCUCAGCUGAGCUGAUUCCAAAGCUUGUGUUAUAACGCACUAUCUCCCUGGAGCAUCAGAAAAGUUAUGGGGUGGGGGUGCAGGACAUCUGAGAGCGCCAGGCUCUGAAAGGAUUUUUUGUGGGAGGUGGUGCUUUUCCAGGAGGCAGCGCCUGCUAUAGCAGUCACACCAAGCUUGGCUUCCUCCUUCUUAGUGAAAGGUGGGUAAGAGGGGAUGUCCUCCCCCGCCCCUCCUAUCACCCUGGGCUUCCUCCCUCUAAGAGUCCUUGUUCUGAGCAACCAUCCUUUGCUACCUGUUCCCCUCUCCUGUGUUAUGGACUGUCACCCCUGCUAGUACUAAACCAGAAGUUCCCCAACUUACAGCAAGAAGGCAGCCAUCUGCAAGCCAGGAAGAGUGUCCUCACCAGGAACUGAAUCUGCCAGCACUUUGAUCUUGGACUUCAGCCUCCAGAACUGUUGGAAAUAAUGUGCGUUGUUUAAGCUACUCCAUCUAUGUUAUUUUGUUAUAGUAGUCUGAGCUAGGAUAAUUGCUGAAAGAUGUAUUGGGGGGCUGAAUCUGGUCCCUUAAACUUUCAACAGUAAACAUUUAUUGAACAUC